rnacentral:rRNA from 1 species
GUGGGGAAUUUUGGACAAUGGGCGCAAGCCUGAUCCAGCAAUGCCGCGUGCAGGAAGAAGGCCUUCGGGUUGUAAACUGCUUUUGUACGGAACGAAACGGUCCUGGUUAAUACCUGGGGCUAAUGACGGUACCGUAAGAAUAAGCACCGACUAACUACGUGCCAGCAGCCGCGGUAAUACGUAGGGUGCGAGCGUUAAUCGGAAUUACUGGGCGUAAAGCGUGCGAAGGCGGUGCUGUAAGACAGGCGUGAAAUCCCCGGGCUCAACCUGGGAAUUGCGCUUGGGACUGCAGUGCUGGAGUACGGCAGAGGGGGAUGGAAUUCCGCGUGUAGCAGUGAAAUGCGUAGAUAUGCGGAGGAACACCGAUGGCGAAGGCAGUCCCCUGGGCCUGUACUGACGCUCAUGCACGAAAGCGUGGGGAGCAAACAGGAUUAGAAACCCUGGUAGUCC